UGGAAAUUGAAAUUCCAGCAUUUGUGUUAUUGAAAUAUUAAGUGUACUAUGGUACCUGGAAGCACCAGAUUAAGAACCUCUUAUAUAGUGCAUAUAAAAAAUAAAUUGCAUGACUUAAUUACUGUGAGUGAGGAAUGUGGGUUGGACGUGAUGUGUUUUUCCUCACUUCUAGAUUUUUUUUUUGAGGGGAGAAAGGAAUUUGGAGAAGAGAGAGAGAGACAUCAAAAACGUGACAGAUGAUGAUAUAUCAUAUAGCCCAACCCAUGGACUCUUGUCCCCAAUACAAUUAAAUCACAUGAAGAAUAAACAUAAGUGUUGGAUGAUAUUAAUGUCGAGAAUAAUGUCGUAUUGGCAUCUUUCAUGAAGGUGAAAGGCCAAAUUGGUAGAGACAAUAUAUAAGCUAUCAUGGGAAAUUUUAAUUGGGUCAGAUAAAAACGGUCGUCAGGGAAAAGAACUGUCGUCAAAGGGAAAAUUUUGGUUGCAAAGGAACUGUCAUCGGAAAAGGGACUAGCAAUUUGGGAAAAAAUGUUGAAUCCAUCACUAGUCCCCAUUGAAGAUCCAUCAGUAAUUUACAUCUCCACAAAAGUAUCCAUCGUCUGCCCUCAAUCAAGUAUAAAUGUCGCCAGUUGUCCGACCAUCUCUUCGUCUUCAUCAUUCUCAUCAUCUAUCCAGCAAGGCACUGAAGUUCAUCCCUCCUCCAUCACAUCUUUACUGUUAACCAGAACUCUGUUUACUAAUUGAACUGUUGUUCAAUUAGUAAACAGAAUUAUUCAAGAUAUUUUCAUCUUAAGUAAAUUGUCAGGUAAAUCUAUGUAAAUGACUCUUUUGUUAACUCUGUGCUAAAAUAAAUGGAAGUUUUGUAUUGUUAUAACUGUAGUCUCUGAGUCAUUGAGUACUGCCUCAUUACCUAUCCUUACCUGCAGCAUACCAUUCACCGUGGUAAGGC
rnacentral:lncRNA from 1 species